rnacentral:rRNA from 1 species
AUGGUGGGGUUGAUUUUUACAAGUUUAGGACUAAAAUAUCACAUGUUGUGCAAGUUAGGGUACCUGGGGUGCUUUUACCUCGGAAAGAAAAUCAACGGCAACGGACACGUGGUGGUGUGCUCCACAGCCACAGGCUUGAGGUCCCCCGCAGCCUACUGUUCAAUUAAUUUUGUCUGCUCGUGUCGCCCAUCCCGAAAAGGCCGCCGGGAUAGUAUCACCAUCGGAGGAUACGUUCCAAUUUAUUUUCAGCAUCCCUGGGUUUUUUUUCAUUUAAAAUCCAUGCCUCAAAUAAUUUAUUCUCUCUCCCUCGAAAAAAAUAAUAAUUUAUUCUUCCUGCUUCAAAUAAUUUUUUUUAUUACCCACCAUCAUCCUUCCUACUCCCUCCUCGCCCGCGCGCUCCACGCCAUCAUCCUCCCUCCUCCCCCCACCACUUUUCAUACGACACCCACCGCUUCUCAAAAUCAUAAAACAGUUUUAACCCAGCGCGCCUCGGAAUGGCAGAUGUUAAUUGUAAUAUGCAAGACUAUUUCGAUGGGUUUUUUUUUUGCGACGAUUACUCCCUUCGAAAGGGUCUGUCGGGUUCGACCUAGAGGGCAAAAAACACAGAGCCAACACGCAACAAGAGAACAGUCGUCGAGAAUUUGA